rnacentral:lncRNA from 10 species
GUUCUUGGAAGGGUUCUUAGAAGCCAGGACUAGAGGUGGCAUUCAUAAUUUUUACUCACAUUCUAUUGCUGGAGCUUAAUCACAGGGUGAUCUAAACACAAGGAAGGCUGAGAAAUUAGGUUUCUUCAUGAAUCCAGGAAGAAAGAAAUAGAAUCAUCUUCUCCACAGGGACCCAUCCUGUUGUUCAGCAGGCAAAUUGACAGAGAGCAGUGUUGCGUGCUGGGCAGGGGCUGGAGAUCAAGACCUACCCAUUGUGAUGAAUAAAUCCAGGCUCUCAGCAAUGCAGGGAGAAAAAGUUUUGUCUAUCAACACUGCAGCAACCAGGUAAUUCUGUGCACAGAC